UUGAUUGUGAUGCUCAUUUAAUCUACUCUUAGACAUGUUCAAGUGUUUUUGCUCUUUUCAACCAUGAUUGUGAAUCUUUACAGUGAAUCUUUUGGCUUCUUGUCCAUCAGAAAAGAAGUAUUUUGGUGCUUCAUGGCACUUCUCUCUCUCUCUCUCUCUCUCUCGGUUUACCUUGACAAAGCCAUGGCUUUUUUGUUUGGAGUAUGGUGAUGAACUGUAGGAGGAAGAUAGAGAUCUUGGAGGGAUUGAGAUCAAGUCCUUCAAGUUCUCUUCCUGGAGCAUCAACCAGGCAAUAAGCAGAAUUAAGCCCCCCUGGCCUCUUCCUCUAAAAGAGGCAGCCAUUGAAUGGAGAACAUAUCUACAAGGAGCGAAUUCACUUGAGAGAGAUCUAAAGCUCAUCCCCCCCUGCUAUAAAUCCAUUCCCCUUUGUCUCCUCCUCUGCACUAUAUCUUUUGCAGCACAAUUCAGGGCCGGAAUCCCGGUUGCCAAAACUGCCUCAUCUGGCCCUGUGAGCUCUCCGCUGGCCGCGAAUGGGGAGGCACUCUUGCUGCUACAAGCAGAAGCUGAGGAAAGGGUUGUGGUCUCCGGAGGAGGACGAGAAGCUUGUGAAGCACAUCGCCAAGUAUGGCCAUGGCUGUUGGAGCUCUGUCCCCAAGCUAGCAGACCUGCAGAGGUGCGGAAAGAGCUGCAGAUUGAGGUGGAUCAACUACCUGAGGCCUGAUCUGAAGAGGGGCACCUUCUCGCAGCAAGAGGAGAAACUCAUCAUCGAGCUCCAUGCAGCCGUCGGCAACAGGUGGUCUCAGAUUGCGGCCCAAUUGCCGGGAAGAACCGAUAACGAGAUCAAGAACUACUGGAACUCAUGCAUCAAGAAGAAGUUGAGGCAGAGCGGCAUCGAUCCGAGCACCCACAGACCACUCAGCGAGGUCGAGGGAGGAGACGACAAAGAAGCCAUGGCCAGCGGCAGAAGCUCCACCUCCGCACCACCACCAUCCCAUACCAUCGAAUGCACUCCUCUUCUACAAGCAAAUGAUGUUGUUGUUCCGUCAUCGAUCUCAAUCUCCGUGCCAGACCUCCGGUGUUUGGAGGCCGGCAGUUGCAGCAACACCAGCGCAAACAGUGCCAACAGCAGCAGUGAGUUCGAGCUGCAAAUCAGCAGCAGCCUCUUCGACGGCAGCAUCUUCCAGUGGUUGGAGUUGUUUCCAAGCAAAGGCGCCCAGCACCAUUUCGACGGCGAGCCGGAGGAUCUGAAGUGGUCCGAGUACCUCAACGGCACCAUCGGCUCCGAUGAUGGAUUGCUCGGAGAGAUAAAAAAGGAGUAGAAGAAGAUUCUUGUGACAUGACCCAACCAAAUGAAGGAAGCAGUUCAUUUAACCACAGUAUCAGACUUCAGAUUGUUUGCAGUUUCUAGGCUUUGAUAGAAGAAAUGAUGCAGAAUCCAGGAAAGGAAAAUGUUGACUUUUUUUGGCAGCCAACUACUGGUUAAGAUGUCUAGAAAAGUCAGAACUUGCAAAUGAAGGAAAAAAAGUAAGAGAAACAUGGCAAGGUGGUGACUCCCUCCCUACCUCUGCAAUCAAUUUGGUGGAAUAGUCAUUGCAGCAGUUGUUUGUUUUCUCUUUUGUUUGGACAAAGUGUGUGUUGUCCUUGAAAAGCACCCUUUUCUCCUCCAUUUCCUUUUCAGAUGUUCACAUCAUUA